CUCAGAAAGAGAGUGAACAACUAGAAGAUGUGGAAGACUGAGUUUGGCUCUGGAGUCAAUAAUUCUCAAAACAGCUUUCUGAACUCUGAAUCGCAGUAAAGCUGGUGUUCUCCUGAAGCCAACAUUUAUGGUAUUACCUUGCUGAUCCAGGCAAAAUGGCAAAAGUAUAGUGAACAUAAAGCCAGGGGCUGAGAUUGUGGGCGUCCUCUGUACCAAGUUUCUGAUUAUGGCAAGGGUAGAAGUUCACCAGGUCAGUAAUGUGAUUUUGUCCGAGGAGCCAUUUCUGGAGAUCUAGCCUAAACAUUGCUCCUCCAACUCUUCCCAUAAUUUGUUAACAAUUAAAUAAUUGUUCUGUUUAAAAUAGUUUGGAUGUUUUAUGUUUUCUGCAACUUUACUGUUAACAUAACAAAGACAUAAAUAAAGAUCUAAAUAAAGUCG
rnacentral:lncRNA from 1 species